rnacentral:lncRNA from 1 species
GUCUGGUUACUGCCUGAGCAGAGAUGAGAUGAUGACUCUAUGAAAUGAAAUAAUAAAGUCUUCACAUUAAAACAAGUAAUUUACACAACUGGAAUAUAUUAUUAAAGCAAAGUGAUUACAGGAUGGUAAAUAAGUAAUGGGCAGUAAUAGGUAGUAAUGGGUAGUAAUGGGCAGUGAUGGGCUGUGAUGGGCAGUGAUGGGCUGUAAUGGGUAGUGAUGGGCAGUGAUGGGCAGUAAUGGGCAGUGAUGGGCAGUGAUGGGCAGUGAUGGGCAGUAAUGGGCAGUGAUGGGCAGUAAUGGGCAGUGAUGGGCAGUGAUGGGCAGUGAUGGGCAGUGAUGGGCAGUGAUGGGCAGUGAUGGGAAGUGAUGAGCAGUGAUGGGCAGUGAUGGGCAGUGAUGGGCAGUAAUGAGCAGUAAUGGGCAGUGAUGGCAGUAAUGGGCAGUGAUGGGCAGUGAUGAGCAGUGAUGGGCAGUGAUGGGCAGUGAUGAGCAGUGAUGGGCAGUGAUGGGCAGUGAUGGGCAGUGAUGAGCAGUAAUGGGCAGUAAUGGGCAGUGAUGGGUAGUAAUGGGCAGUAAUGGGCAGUAAUGGGUAGUAAUGGCAGUGAUGGGCAGUGAUGGGCAGUGAUGAGCAGUAAUGAGCAGUGAUGGGCAGUAAUGAGCAGUGAUGGGCAGUAAUGGGUAGUAAUGGGCAGUGAUGGCAGUAAUGGGCAGUGAUGGGCAGUGAUGAGCAGUGAUGAGCAGUAAUGGGCAGUGAUGGGUAUGAUGGGCAGUGAUGGGCAGUAAUGAGCAGUGAUGGGCAGUAAUGGGCAGUAAUGGGUAGUAAUGGGUAGUAAUGGGCAGUGAUGGCAGUAAUGGGCAGUGAUGGGCAGUGAUGAGCAGUGAUGAGCAGUAAUGGGCAGUGAUGGGCAGUAAUGAGCAGUGAUGGGCAGUAAUGGGCAGUAAUGGGUAGUAAUGGGUAGUAAUGGGCAGUGAUGGCAGUAAUGGGCAGUGAUGGGCAGUGAUGAGCAGUGAUGAGCAGUAAUGGGCAGUGAUGGGUAGUAAUGGGCAGUGAUGGGCAGUAAUGGGCAGUGAUGGGCAGUGAUGGGCAGUGAUGGGCAGUAAUGGGCAGUGAUGAGCAGUGAUGGGCAGUAAUGGGCAGUAAUGAGCAGUAAUGGGCAGUAAAGGGCAGUAAUGAGCAGUAAUGAGCAGUAAUGGGCAGUAAUGGGCAGUCAUCAUAGGACUUAUAUUCAUUGCUUUAUUAUGUGUUGUUAGAGACAAAUUAAUGUUCUCACUGUCCCACUGAGACAGAGUCAGAACAGAGAUGUGAAGAGGGGGUAUCUCUGUCCCUUUGUCUCACUGAGACAGAGAGUCAGAACAGAGAUGUGAAGAGGGGGUAUCUCUGUCCCUUUGUCCCACUGAGACAGAGAGUCAGAACAGAGAUGUGAAGAGGGGGUAUCUCUGUCCCUUAGUCUCAC